rnacentral:rRNA from 1 species
AGCGAACGCUGGCGGCAGGCCUAACACAUGCAAGUCGAGCGCCCAGCAAUGGGAGCGGCAGACGGGUGAGUAACGCGAGGGGAUGUGCCCAAUGGUGCGGAAUAACCCAGGGAAACUUGGAUUAAUACCGCAUGUGCCCUUCGGGGGAAAGAUUUAUCGCCAUGGGAUCAACCCGCGUCUGAUUAGCUAGUUGGUGAGGUAAAGGCUCACCAAGGCGACGAUCAGUAGCUGGUCUGAGAGGAUGAGCAGCCACACUGGGACUGAGACACGGCCCAGACUCCUACGGGAGGCAGCAGUGGGGAAUAUUGGACAAUGGGCGCAAGCCUGAUCCAGCCAUGCCGCGUGAGUGAUGAAGGCCUUAGGGUUGUAAAGCUCUUUCGCCGGUGAAGAUAAUGACGGUAACCGGAGAAGAAGCCCUGGCUAACUUCGUGCCAGUCGCCGCAGUAA